CAGCGGCUAGUCUAAUAAAGACCACUAAUUUCGACUUAGUAAAUCUCAGAUCACCCUGAGCCCGCUAA
rnacentral:tRNA from 1 species